rnacentral:rRNA from 1 species
AGAGUUUGAUCCUGGCUCAGGACGAACGCUGGCGGCGUGCUUAACACAUGCAAGUGGAGCGACGAACCAGGGCUUGCCCUGGGGCAAAGCCGCGAACGGGUGAGUAACACGUGGGUAACCCACCCCGAUGAUCGGGACAACCCGGGGAAACUCGGGCUAAUACCGAAUGUGCCUUCAGUUCAUGAGGACUGAAAGUAAAGAUAGCUUCGGCCUUCGCAUCGGGACGGGCCCGCGGCCCAUUAGCUUGUUGGUGAGGUAACGGCUCACCAAGGCGACGAUGGGUAGCUGGUCUGAGAGGACGAUCAGCCACACUGGGACUGAGACACGGCCCAGACUCCUACGGGAGGCAGCAGUGGGGAAUCUUGCACAAUGCGCGAAAGCGUGAUGCAGCAACGCCGCGUGGGGGAAGAAGGCCUUCGGGUUGUAAACCCCUUUCAGUUGGGACGAAGCUUCAGUGGUGAAUAGCCGCUUGGAGUGACGGUACCUUCACAAGAAGCCCCGGCUAACUACGUGCCAGCAGCGGCGGUAAUAC